GUCGGAGAGCCGGAGACCCAACCGUCUUCCUCCCCACGCAUUAAUAAGCCCUCGCCUUAAAUCGCCCCUCCCAACCGUCUUCCUCCCCAGCUUUCCGACGGCAUCCAUCCCGGAACGGAAAACACCAACCUGCUUUCCACCUAUAAAAUCCGCCCUUCCCCACCCCAAAUCCCACAACAGCAAACCAAAUCCCCAAGACCAAAAAAGGCCCCAGCAACCCGAGCGCGUCGACCCCAUCCACAACAGUUGAAUCUGAGUUUACUUCCAGGAAAGAUUUGAGUCGAGAUGGCGCAGGCGAUCGAGGCUCAGAGGGAGGGCGCGGAGGUGUACCACGGCGCGGCGCUGUGCGCGGAGAAGGCGGUGGAGCUGCUGGCGGAGACCAACAUGCCGCUGGGCCUGCUGCCGCUGGCGGAUAUCGAGGAGGUGGGCUACAACCGCGCCACCGGCUUCGUCUGGCUGCGCCAGAAGAAGGCGCUCACGCACACCUUCAAGCAGAUCGGGCGGCAGGUCUCGUACGGCACCGAGGUGACGGCCUUCGUCGAGGACCGCAAGAUGAAGCGCAUGACCGGGGUCAAGAGCAAGGAGCUCCUCAUCUGGAUCACCCUCUGCGACAUGUACAUCGACAAGGACGACCCCUCCAAGAUCACCUUCAAGACGCCCACCGGGCUCGGGAGGACCUUCCCCGUCUCCGCCUUCGAGAAGGAGGACUGCGGCAAGGCCAAGGCCGCAGCCGGCGGCGGCAAGGAGGCCCUCGUGGCCAAGUAAGUGACGACGGCCGGCAUACUACAGAGCUUGGAUGAAAAUGUCACGAGGUGUACGUGACUACGUGUUCUCCGAUUUUAUUUUAGGCAUGAAAAGCUUCUCUCCUUCUGCACAGACAAAGGGACGAUUCUGGUCUCCUGCUAUUUAAUUCAAGUCACGUAUAGCUAGAUGACUAUAGCUGUCAACCAAUUUAAUGCAGAGUGCUACUUUCC
rnacentral:rRNA from 1 species